UACGUAGGGGGCGAGCGUUAUCCGGAUUUAUUGGGCGUAAAGCGUGUGUAGGCGGUUUGUUAAGUCUGAGAUUAAAGCCCGAGGCUCAACCUCGGUUCGUUUCAGAAACUGGCAGACUUGAGUGUGGUAGAGGCAAGUGGAAUUUCUAGUGUAGCGGUUAAAUGCGUAGAUAUUAGAAGGAACACCAGUGGCGAAGGCGGCUUGCUGGGCCAUUACUGACGCUGAGACACGAAAGCGUGGGUAUCGAACAGG
rnacentral:rRNA from 1 species